rnacentral:rRNA from 1 species
UACGUAGGUGGCAAGCGUUGUCCGGAUUUACUGGGCGUAAAGAGCGCGCAGGCGGUCGUUCAAGUCGCGUGUGAAAGCCCCCGGCUCAACUGGGGAGGGUCACGCGAUACUGAUCGACUGGAAGGCAGGAGAGGGUAGUGGAAUUCCCGGUGUAGUGGUGAAAUUCGUAGAUAUCAGGAAGAACAUCGGUGGCGAAGGCGCUCUGCUGGACCAUAACUGACACUCAGGGACGAAAGCUAGGGGAGCGAAUGGG